rnacentral:rRNA from 1 species
CCUACGGGCGGCAGCAGUAGGGAAUCUUCCACAAUGGGCGAAAGCCUGAUGGAGCAACGCCGCGUGGGUGAAGAAGGUCUUCGGAUCGUAAAACCCUGUUGUUAGAGAAGAAAGUGCGUGAGAGUAACUGGUCACGUUUCGACGGUAUCUGACCAAAAAGCCACGGCUAACUACGUGGCAGCAGCCGCGGUAAUACGUAGGUGGCAAGCGUUAUCCGGGUUUAGUGGGCGUAAAGGGAACGCAGGCGGUCUGUUAAGUCUGCUGUGAAAGCCUUCGGCUUAACCGGAGUAGUGCAUUGGAAACUGGGAGACUUGAGUGCAGAAGAGGAGAGUGGAACUCCAGGUGUAGCGGUGAAAUGCGUAGAUAUAUGGAAGAACACCAGUGGCGAAAGCGGCUCUCUGGUCUGUAACUGACGCUGAGGUUCGAAAGCGUGGUGAGCAAACAGGAUUAGAUACCCGUGUAGUC